rnacentral:rRNA from 1 species
AGAGUUUGAUCAUGGCUCAGAACGAACGCUGGCGGCGUGCCUAAUACAUGCAAGUCGAGCGGACUUGUAGGAGCUUGCUCCUGCAGGUUAGCGGCGGACGGGUGAGUAACACGUGGGCAACCUACCUAUAAGACUGGGAUAACUUCGGGAAACCGGAGCUAAUACCGGAUGACAUAAAGGAACUCCUGUUCCUUUAUUGAAAGAUGGCUUCGGCUAUCACUUAUAGAUGGGCCCGCGGCGCAUUAGCUAGUUGGUGAGGUAACGGCUCACCAAGGCGACGAUGCGUAGCCGACCUGAGAGGGUGAUCGGCCACACUGGGACUGAGACACGGCCCAGACUCCUACGGGAGGCAGCAGUAGGGAAUCUUCCGCAAUGGACGAAAGUCUGACGGAGCAACGCCGCGUGAACGAUGAAGGCCUUCGGGUCGUAAAGUUCUGUUGUUAGGGAAGAACAAGUGCUAGUUAAAUAAGCUGGCACCUUGACGGUACCUAACCAGAAAGCCACGGCUAACUACGUGCCAGCAGCGGCGGUAAUAC